rnacentral:rRNA from 1 species
CACAAUGGGGGAAACCCUGAUGCAGCGACGCAGCGUGCGGGAUGACGGCCUUCGGUUUUAAACCGCUUUCAGCAGGGAAGAAGCGCAAGUGACGGUACNUGCAGAAGAAGUACCGGCUAACUACGUGCCAGCAGCCGCGGUAAUACGUAGGGUACGAGCGUUGUCCGGAAUUAUUGGGCGUAAAGAGCUCGUAGGUGGUUGGUCACGUCUGCUGUGGAAACGCAACGCUUAACGUUGCGCGUGCAGUGGGUACGGGCUGACUAGAGUGCAGUAGGGGAGUCUGGAAUUCCUGGUGUAGCGGUGAAAUGCGCAGAUAUCAGGAGGAACACCGGUGGCGAAGGCGGGACUCUGGGCUGUAACUGACACUGAGGAGCGAAAGCAUGGGG